UGGGGAAUAUUGGACAAUGGGCGCAAGCCUGAUCCAGCCAUGCCGCGUGAGUGAUGAAGGCCUUAGGGUUGUAAAGCUCUUUCGCCGACGAAGAUAAUGACGGUAGUCGGAGAAGAAGCCCCGGCUAACUUCGUGCCAGCAGCCGCGGUAAUACGAAGGGGGCUAGCGUUGUUCGGAAUCACUGGGCGUAAAGCGCACGUAGGCGGAUUGUUAAGUCAGGGGUGAAAGCCUGGAGCUCAACUCCAGAACUGCCCUUGAUACUGGCAAUCUCGAGUCCGGAAGAGGUAAGUGGAACUGCGAGUGUAGAGGUGAAAUUCGUAGAUAUUCGCAAGAACACCAGUGGCGAAGGCGGCUUACUGGUCCGGUACUGACGCUGAGGUGCGAAAAGCGUGGGGAGCAAAACAGGAUUAGAUACCCUGGUAGUCCACGCCGUAAACGAUGGAGGCUAGCCGUUGGCGAGCAUGCUCGUCAGUGGCGCAGCUAACGCAUUAAGCCUCCCGCCUGGGGAGUACGGUCGCAAGAUUAAAACUCAAAGGAAUUGACGGGGUCAUAGCUG
rnacentral:rRNA from 1 species